rnacentral:rRNA from 1 species
UUUUGUUAAGUGUGUAAGAGCACACGGUGGAUGCCUUGGCAUCAAGAGCCGAUGAAGGACGUGGGAGACUGCGUUAAGCCUAGGGGAGUUGUCAACCGAGCGGUGAUCCUAGGAUGUCCGAAUGGGGAAACCUAGCCACAGUGAUGUGUGGUCGCCUGCGCCUGAAUGUAUAGGGCGUGUGGAGGGAACGCGGGGAAGUGAAACAUCUUAGUACCCGUAGGAAGAGAAAACAACCGUGAUUCCGUUAGUAGUGGCGAGCGAAGGCGGAUGAGGCUAAACCAUAUGCGUGUCAAGCCGGCAGGCGUUGCGUGUGUGGUGUUGUGGGAGCAAGUGUGUGUGGCUGCCGUCGCAUGCUGUUGAUGUUGUCGUUAGCGGAAGUCGUUUGGAACGGCGCACCGUAGUGGGUGAGAGUCCCGUACGUGAAAGCGGCAAUUGUUGAUGGUUCUUGUUUCCCGAGUAGCACCGGGCCCGUGAAAUCCGGUGUGAAGGUGAAAAGUACCCCGGGAGGGGAGUGAAAUAGUACCUGAAACCGUGUGCUUACAAUCCGUCAGAGGCUUUCGGGCUGAUGGCGUGCCUUUUGAAGAAUGAGCCUGCGAGUUAGUGGUAUGUCGCGAGGUUAACCCGUGUGGGGAAGCCGGAGCGAAAGCGAGUCCGAAUAGGGCGUUUAGUGGAACUGAGGGGAUGAGCUGUGGGUAGGGGUGAAAGGCCAAUCAAACUCCGUGAUAGCUGGUUCUCCCCGAAAUGCAUUUAGGUGCAGCGUCGUGUGUUUCAUCUUGGAGGUAGAGCUACUGGAUGGUCAAGGGGGCUUAUCCGCUUACCAACACCAGCCAAACUCCGAAUGCCAGGAUGUGAGAGCACGGCAGUGAGACUGUGGGGGAUAAGCUUCAUAGUCGAGAGGGAAACAGCCCAGAUCGCCGGCUAAGGCCCCUAAGCGUGUACUAAGUGGAAAAGGAUGU